UACGUAGGGUGCGAGCGUUAAUCGGAAUUACUGGGCGUAAAGCGUGCGCAGGCGGUUUUGUAAGCCAGAUGUGAAAUCCCCGGGCUUAACCUGGGAACUGCAUUUGGGACUGCAAGGCUUGAGUGCGGCAGAGGAGACUGGAAUUCCUGGUGUAGCAGUGAAAUGCGUAGAUAUUGGGAGGAACACCAGUGGCGAAGGCGGCUCACUGGACCGGUACUGACGCUGAUGCGCGAAAGCGUGGGGAGCAAACGGG
rnacentral:rRNA from 1 species